rnacentral:rRNA from 1 species
GACGAACGCUGGCGGCGUGCUUAACACAUGCAAGUCGUACGAUGACCCGGCUCUUCGGCGCUGGUGAUUAGUGGCGAACGGGUGAGUAACACGUGUGUGACCUGCCCUGCACUCUGGGAUAAGCCCGGGAAACUGGGUCUAAUACUGGAUACGACCAGUGGCCGCAUGGUCUUCUGGUGGAAAGCCCUUCGGGGUGGUGUGGGAUGGGCCAGCGGCCUCUCAGCUUGGUGGUGGGGUGAUGGCCUACCAAGGCGAAGACGGGUAGCCGGCCUGCGAGGGUGCACGGCCAAACUGGGACUGGGACAAGGCCCAGACUGCUACGGGAGGUAGGAGUGGGGAAGCUUGGAGAGUGGGCGAAAGGCUGAUGCAGCGACGCCGCGUGAGGGAUGACGGCAUUCGGGUUGUAAGCCUCUUGCGGCAGGGAACAAGCCUGGGGGUUGUCUUCUGGGUGAGGGUACCUGCGGAAGAAGCACCGGCUAACUACGUG